UACGUAGGGGGCUAGCGUUGUCCGGAAUCAUUGGGCGUAAAGCGCGUGUAGGCGGUUCGAUAAGUCUGCUGUGAAAGUCGGGGGCUCAACCCUCGAAUGCCGGUGGAUACUGUCGGACUAGAGUGCGGAAGAGGCGAGUGGAAUUCCUGGUGUAGCGGUGAAAUGCGCAGAUAUCAGGAGGAACACCAAUUGCGAAGGCAGCUCGCUGGGACGUUACUGACGCUGAGACGCGAAAGCGUGGGGAGCAAACAGG
rnacentral:rRNA from 1 species